rnacentral:rRNA from 1 species
GAUUCCCUGAGUAGCGGCGAGCGAAACGGGAUUAGCCCAAACCAAGAGGCUUGCCUCUUGGGGUUGUAGGACACUCUGUACGGAGUUACAAAGGAACGAGGUAAAUGAAGAGGUCUGGAAAGGCCCGCCGUAGGAGGUAACAGCCCUGUAAUCAAAAUUUCGUUCUCUCCUGAGUGAAUCCUGAGUACGGAGGAUCGCUUGAAAUUCCGUCGGAAU